rfam:Triticum aestivum genome assembly, contig: Triticum_aestivum_CS42_TGACv1_scaffold_289604_4AL
GAAGUACUCCCACCGUCCAAAAAUACUUGUCACCAAAAUGAACAAAAAAUGAUGUAUCUUGAACUAAAAUGCGUCAUUUUGAUGACAAGUAUUUCCGGACGGAGGGAGUAUAUG